rnacentral:rRNA from 1 species
UAUUAUUUUAAUUCUAAAUAUUUGAGACUUGAGUAGUAUUAGUUAAGGUCUUGAAACUCAAAGGAUUUGGCGGUGUUUCAGUCUUUUCAGAGGAAUCUGUCUUGUAAUCGAUAAUACACGUUAAAUUAUACUUAAUUUUGUUUACAGCUUGUAUACCGCCGUCAUAAGAAUAUCUUUUUAGGGAAAAAUAUUCAGAAUAUUAAUUAAAUAGGAUGUCAGGUCAAGGUGCAGUUUAUAAUUAAGGGUUGGAUGGAUUACAUUGGUAUUAUUCAAACGGAUUUUGUAAUGUAAUUUGUGAGUUGAAGGUGGAUUUGAAAGUAAUUUUGUUAUAUUAUGAUAAUAUGAUUAAAGCGCUGUAACAUGCACACAUCGCCCGUCACUCUCGUUAUUAAGGUGAG